ACGCUGGCGGCGUGCUUAACACAUGCAAGUCGAACGGAAAGGCCCCCACCUUGGUGGGGGUGCUCGAGUGGCGAACGGGUGAGUAAUACGUGAGUGACCUACCUUUGACUCUGGGAUAAGCCUGGGAAACUGGGUCUAAUACCGGAUACGACCAAUCUCUGCAUGGGGUGUUGGUGGAAAGCGUUAUGGAGUGGUUUUAGAUGGGCUCACGGCCUAUCAGCUUGUUGGUGAGGUAAUGGCUUACCAAGGCGACGACGGGUAGCCGGCCUGAGAGGGUGACCGGCCACACUGGGACUGAGACACGGCCCAGACUCCUACGGGAGGCAGCAGUGGGGAAUAUUGCACAAUGGGCGCAAGCCUGAUGCAGCGACGCCGCGUGAGGGAUGACGGCCUUCGGGUUGUAAACCUCUGUUAGCAUCGAAGAAGCGAAAGUGACGGUAGGUGCAGAGAAAGCGCCGGCUAACUAC
rnacentral:rRNA from 1 species